GGUGGGUAAAAAUAAACGUGUGAUCGCAUAACAUCUUUUUUUUUUUUUUUUUUUUUUGGCCAUCAAAAUUUAUGGAAAUAUAAGAGAGAGAGAGAGAGAGAGAGAGAGAGAGAGGACCCAAUGAGUGUUCAGACAUGGAACACGAGAAAAUAUUUAUAAAAAAGCGGAAAAGAAAGUGGAGUCAAAGACUCAGCAGCACUCGCACUUGCUCUUGCAGCAGCACAACACAACAGAAGAGAGGAAGUGUGGUGGAUGAAAGAGAUGUGACGGUUGGAUGUCUGGCUCCGUGGGGUCCUCUCCCUUGCAAGAUUUUUUGAAAUUAAAAAAAGAAAAGAAAAAAGGACGGGACACGUGUACGGAGAUUAACAGUGUCUGCCCCGCUCACCCAAAUGAUGCCACGUUUACGCUGCAAGAUCUUACUCCAGGAUCCCAGCCGGAGCUGAGAGCUGCUGCAGCCUGCUUCAGAGAUCAGACUUCAGACUCGAAUUCUUUUUUCUUUUUUUUUGGCAGUAGUAAAAAUAAUAAAAAUAAUAAUAAUAAUAAAUUUUAUUUUUUAUUUUUUAUUUAAUGGGCAAGUGCAGCAAAACAAAGGCAAGGCUAUAAAAAGAAAGAUUACUAGUUUCCAUUUGUUUCACUGUGCCCGCGACAACAUGUCGCUGUGAUUUUAUUUGUCACUGUGACUCGGUAGUACAGUGCAUGCAUGAUUUACUUGCUUUGACCGUCUUUCAUGAUUUCGUUAUCAGAUUACAUGAUCAAUCAUCCAUCCAUCUCUUUUUUUAUCAAUAAAAUAAGGAGUGACAGAGAGAUUGGUGGAAGAAAUUUUUUUUUUUUAAAAAAAACACACACACACACACUUUUUAGUGAGGGCAAAAAAUUUUUUUAAAAAAAAAAACUCUGUUAAUGUGUUUUAUUAUUUGCCACAAAGAAAAGAUAAAUAAAUGACAAUUAAAAAAAAUAAAAGGGAAAAGAAAAUUACUUAAAAAAUUUAUGUCUCCCUCUAGAAUAAUAAUUAAGCCAAAUAAUAGCAUAUUGCGUAAAAAAAAAGGGGUAGAUUUUUGUAGAAAUUAUAAAAUUCUAAUAUCGCUAAUUAGCUAAUUAACAGCUUUCUAAGAGUAUUUUAUAGAAUAUU
rnacentral:lncRNA from 1 species